UAGGGAAUCUUGGACAAUGGGCGAAAGCCUGAUCCAGCCAUGCCGCGUGAGUGAAGAAGGCCUUAGGGUUGUAAAACUCUUUCAGCGGGGAAGAUAAUGACGGUACCCGCAGAAGAAGCCCCGGCUAACUCCGUGCCAGCAGCCGCGGUAAUACGGAGGGGGCUAGCGUUGCUCGGAAUUACUGGGCGUAAAGCGCACGUAGGCGGAUUGGUAAGUCGGGGGUGAAAGCCCGGAGCUCAACUCCGGAAAUGCCUUCGAUACUGCCAGUCUUGAGUCCGGGAGAGGUGAAUGGAAUUCCCAGUGUAGAGGUGAAAUUCGUAGAUAUUGGGAAGAACACCAGUGGCGAAGGCGAUUCACUGGCCCGGUACUGACGCUGAGGUGCGAAAGCGUGGGGAGCAAACAGGAUUAGAUACCCCUGUAGUCC
rnacentral:rRNA from 1 species